rnacentral:rRNA from 1 species
ACACGUGGUAUCCUGUCUGAAUAUGGGGGGACCAUCCUCCAAGGCUAAAUACUCCUGACUGACCGAUAGUGAACCAGUACCGUGAGGGAAAGGCGAAAAGAACCCCGGCGAGGGGAGUGAAAAAGAACCUGAAACCGUGUACGUACAAGCAGUGGGAGCACGCUUAGGCGUGUGACUGCGUACCUUUUGUAUAAUGGGUCAGCGACUUAUAUUCUGUAGCAAGGUUAACCGAAUAGGGGAGCCGAAGGGAAACCGAGUCUUAACUGGGCGUUAAGUUGCAGGGUAUAGACCCGAAACCCGGUGAUCUAGCCAUGGGCAGGUUGAAGGUUGGGUAACACUAACUGGAGGACCGAACCGACUAAUGUUGAAAAAUUAGCGGAUGACUUGUGGCUGGGGGUGAAAGGCCAAUCAAACCGGGAGAUAGCUGGUUCUCCCCGAAAGCUAUUUAGGUAGCGCCUCGUGAAUUCAUCUCCGGGGGUAGAGCACUGUUUCGGCAAGGGGGUCAUCCCGACUUACCAACCCGAUGCAAACUGCGAAUACCGGAGAAUGUUAUCACGGGAGACACACGGCGGGUGCUAACGUCCGUCGUGAAGAGGGAAACAACCCAGACCGCCAGCUAAGGUCCCAAAGUCAUGGUUAAGUGGGAAACGAUGUGGGAAGGCCCAGACAGCCAGGAUGUUGGCUUAGAAGCAGCCAUCAUUUAAAGAAAGCGUAAUAGCUCACUGGUCGAGUCGGCCUGCGCGGAAGAUGUAACGGGGCUAAACCAUGCACCGAAGCUGCGGCAGCGACGCUGAUGCGUUGUUGGGUAGGGGAGCGUUCUGUAAGCCUG